UAAGGAGGGGGCUAGCGUUGUUCGGAAUUACUGGGCGUAAAGCGCACGUAGGCGGAACAGAAAGUCAGAGGUGAAAUCCCAGGGCUCAACCUUGGAACUGCCUUUGAAACUCCUGUUCUUGAGGUCGAGAGAGGUGAGUGGAAUUCCGAGUGUAGAGGUGAAAUUCGUAGAUAUUCGGAGGAACACCAGUGGCGAAGGCGGCUCACUGGCUCGAUACUGACGCUGAGGUGCGAAAGCGUGGGGAGCAAACAGG
rnacentral:rRNA from 1 species